rnacentral:sRNA from 1 species
GCCGGGCAUGGUGGUGCACACCUGUAAUCCUGGCAGCUUGGGAGGCUGAGGCGGAAGGAUCACGAGUUCAAAGGCAACCUCAGCAACAGUGAGGUGCUUAGAAACUCAGUGAGACCCUGUCUCUA